GACGAACGCUGGCGGUGUGCCUCACACAUGCAAGUCGAGCGGAUUUACUUAGGAGCUUGCUCUUAAGUAAGUUAGCGGCGGACGGGUGAGUAAUGCGUAGGAAUCUACCCUAAGGUAGGGGAUAACGGGCUGAAAGGUCCGCUAAUACCCCAUAUGCGGGUUCUCUUCGGAGGAUUCGUGAAAGGAGCAAUUCGCCUUUGGAUGAGCCUGCGUCCGAUUAGCUAGUUGGUAAGGUAAAAGCUACCAAGGCUUCGAUCGGUAGUUGGUCUGAGAGGAUGAUCAGCCACAAUGGGACUGAGACACGGCCCAUACUCCUACGGGA
rnacentral:rRNA from 1 species